UAGAACAUGAAAGAAGAGAUUUGAUAGCAGGAAAUGGUACACGGAUGGAGACCAGAUGAUUAUAAAAGGAAAAACUAUUCAAAGGGCAGGAAGAAUUUGGCCAUCGAAAGUCAGGACAAUUGUUUCCGUAUCAAUAAAACUGGCUUUAUUAUCAA